CAGUAGCCGCGGUAAUACGUAGGUCCCGAGCGUUGUCCGGAUUUAUUGGGCGUAAAGCGAGCGCAGGCGGUUAGAUAAGUCUGAAGUUAAAGGCUGUGGCUUAACCAUAGUACGCUUUGGAAACUGUUUAACUUGAGUGCAAGAGGGGAGAGUGGAAUUCCAUGUGUAGCGGUGAAAUACGUAGAUAUAUGGAGGAACACCGGUGGCGAAAGCGGCUCUCUGGCUUGUAACUGACGCUGAGGCUCGAAAGCGUGGGGAGCAAACAGGAUUAGAUACCCCGGUAGUCCCUGUCUCUUAUACA
rnacentral:rRNA from 1 species